rnacentral:rRNA from 1 species
UGAGGAAUAUUGGUCAAUGGGCGAGAGCCUGAACCAGCCAAGUCGCGUGAAGUAAGACUGCCCGCAAGGGUUGUAAACUUCUUUUGUAUGGGAUUAAAUUCGUCUACGUGUAGGCGUUUGCAGUUACCAUACGAAUCAGCAUCGGCUAACUCCGUGCCAGCAGCCGCGGUAAUACGUAUGUUGCGAGCGUUAUCCGGAAUUAUUGGGCUUAAAGGGCAUCUAGGCGGUAAGACAAGUUGAAGGUGAAAACCUGUGGCUCAACCAUAGGCUUGACUACAAAACUGUUGAACUAGAGUACUGGAAAGGUGGGUGGAACUAAACGAGUAGAGGUGAAAUUCGUAGAUAUGUGUAGGAAUGACGAUGAUGAAGAUAACUCACUGGACAGAAACGGACGCUGAAGUGCGAAAGCUAGGGGAGCAAACAGG